rnacentral:rRNA from 1 species
CAUCCCGCGGUAAUACGUAGGGUGCAAGCGUUAAUCGGAAUUACUGGGCGUAAAGCGUGCGCAGGCGGUUAUAUAAGACAGAUGUGAAAUCCCCGGGCUCAACCUGGGAACUGCAUUUGUGACUGUAUAGCUAGAGUACGGCAGAGGGGGAUGGAAUUCCGCGUGUAGCAGUGAAAUGCGUAGAUAUGCGGAGGAACACCGAUGGCGAAGGCAAUCCCCUGGGCCUGUACUGACGCUCAUGCACGAAAGCGUGGGGAGCAAACAGGAUUAGAUACCCCGGUAGUCCCUGUCUCUUAUACAC